AUAGACUGAUACAAACAUUUUCUCCGAGCAAACGUAUGAACAAUAGCCUGCUCCAUGUGUGGAACUGUGUAUAAACAAUGGCCUGCGUUGAGCCAAUUAGACAACUUUCAGGAGCAAACAGAUCAGGAUUCUGAAAUAAGUGUGUCAAUAGGCUUUCUUUCCAUGGAUGGGGGGGGUUCAGCUAUAGCUGCUUUUAGUGAAGUUGGCAGCUUUUGAAGAGACUCGCUCUCAUCGACAAUUAUUUCUUCAGAAUAACUGGAAAAAGAGACUAGUUGAACCGUCACCAAAUGAUUUUAGAUCGGCAGGUUUUACUAAAGACCUGCACAGAGGGCACGUCCUUUCCCUCUCGAACCAUUCAGACACACAGUCUUCACAGAAUAUAUGUUUACAACGUAGUAAGAUUGGUGUAUGCAUUUUCUCCUGGCAAAUAGCACAGAGA
rnacentral:misc_RNA from 1 species